AUCGGUCCUCGGAGCACUGCUGUAGCUGAAAGAAGGCCAGGAGCCCGUGAAGGUCCAGUCCGCGGUCGUUCUUGCCCGGGAUUCCGGAACCGCAGCCCCGCACCGCCACAGAGAAUUGCCCGUGGACUACGGAGGAAAAGGGGUGGGGUCAGAGCAGCCAGGGCCGGUGGGCGGAGCUUUGAAUGAACGAUACACCUGGAUGGUCUGGCCUGGGUCAACAGGUGGGAAUCUCAAAAAGGGCAGAUCUGUGGGUAGAGAGCUACCGGAGAAGGGAGGGUGGUGUGGUCAAAGAGAAGAGCUUCAAAGAAUACAGUCCAACGAGAACAGGCUGAUUAACAAACGCAACAGCCUGGAGAGCCGGGCUCAAACUGAAGCCUCAACGACUACGUCAAAAGGGGGAGGAGCCUCAGAAAGUAGCUUCCGAAGGAUCCAGUUAAGAGACUGAAGAAAAAAAGUUUAAGAGAAAGGCUAGGAGACAAACACGGUGGUACAAGCCUGCAAUCCCGGCUACUGAGGAGGCUGAGGCAGUGGGGUCUGGAGUUGCAGUCUAGCUUGUACUGCAUAAGGAGACCCUGCCGCCAGCAAAAGCGGACUUGGUGGUACAAGCCACCAGGUGACUCAGGAAGCUGAAAGAGGAGACUCACAACCAAAAGGGCCUGUCUGAACGUCAUAACGUCCACCCCGGGACCACAUUUGACUGUCUUCAUCCUGUGCGGAGAGCAUCCAUCGUCCGCCUUCUGCACGCAGCUGUAGCACUCCAGGGCUUGCGCUCCUGCGGGGGCCCCGACUCUACCUUCCUGGCAACACACCCACCUUCACACAGCAGAAGCGGCAGCAGCAACAGCCAUCCGGUGGUCCACAUCACUGGCUGUGUAUCUCCUCUCCUGGCGGCAUCCAUAGCUGUGUCCUGCUCUCUCCGCGUCCCCCCUGGGUGUGCCACCUUCCAACCCGGGCCCUCUUACCUGAGCCUCAGAUGAGUAACCUACCCCGGGGCAACCCUGGCCUUGCCCAACCAGGCCAACUCAGCGUCCGCUGUGGGGCGGGCCCGCCUCUAGGUGCGUCACCCACAGGGAGAGCGGCCCCUGCCCUGUGCCCUUGCCAAGGAGGGAAAGGGCGGGAGUAGAGGUUCCCUCCAGUCCCCUGGAUAAAAGUUUGUGUGUGGGUUUCAGAGGCAGAGGGAGUACCGGGGCUCAAAGAGAGACAGGGGCAUUCAGGGUCUGCUAGGGUUCUGAGCUUAUGUGGUGUGCCUGCCUGCCUGCCUUCGCCUGGGGAUUGGAGACCCUGAGGCAGAACCACUGUCUGUCUUCGAAGAGCUCCCAGACUGAUGGAAGAUACAGAUAUUAAUUAAAUAAUUGGGAAAACUGUUAUUUACAAGUCAGGCUUAGUGACUCAUGCCUGUAAUCACAGCACUCACUGAGCUGAGGCAGGAGGAUUGCCAUGAGUUUGAGGCACGGCGAUUCCAGGCCUCACUGAACUACAGAAAGAGAUCUUAUCUCAAAAAGCCAAACAAACAACUCGGUUAUAACUUACAAGAGAUUAAGGCUCUGGAGGAACAUGCAUAAAGAGCUACAAGCAGAGUUGGAAUUGAGAAGAACAAACAAGGUCAUUACACCGAUCACGCUGUGAUUCCACAAGCCCACAUGCUGUUCCUAGGUCUUUGGCUCUGGCUGUCUCCUAGACAGGAUGUUGUGGCAUGAUGUAAGCCCAUAAUCCCAGCACUCAGAAGGCUGAAGCAAGAGGAUCACAUGUUCGAGACCAGUCUGGGCUACAAAAUGGUGGACCUUCGAGAUUGAUUAUAGGAUAAAAGUGCUUGCCACCAAGCCUGACAACCUGAGUUUGGUCCCCAGGACCCACAUCGUGGGAGAGAACACAUUGUCCUCUGACGUCCACGUGUGCCCAGAUGUACACACAAUAACAAACAGUGCACUUUUUAAAAAGAGAGAGAAUAUACCAGUCCGUUUAUAAGCAGCCUCUUCAGAGAGGAGCACGGUGGCCAUUCCUCAGAGGAGGAAACUGAGUCCCAGAGAGAAAGCUACUCUUCUCCACAGGCCAGUGGAGGGUCCGUCAGCCCCAGCCAGCCAGAUUGGUGACUAUGAAAGGGAUGAGCAGCUAUGUUCAGAGAGAUCUCUGCUGCCCGGCCCCUGCCCAGCACCCCUGUUCCCAACAAUGACAAGCACCUCAGUCACCUAGGUGGGGUCACCUGUCAUCCAGGGAAGACUCAGAGGGAGAAAGUGAGCGAUUCUCGUGAUGUCAUUCAAACUUGGCUCGAGCUGCACUGCCUCCACCUCAGGAUCCCAGCCCUACAUCUUUGCUGUGUGACCCUCAAUAAAUGUUCUUCCCUCUCUGAGGCUCCAAGGUAUCUUUUAAAAGGAUUUUUAUUCUUACACAGGGUCCUACUAUACAUACAGCCCUGCUGGCCCUGGAACUCACUAUGUAGACCAAGCUGGCCUUGAACACACAGAGAUCUGCCUGGCUCUGCCUUCCGAGUGCUGGGAUUAAAGAUGUACACCACCAAGCCUGGCUCAAAGUGUCCUUUUCAUUGUAAAGGGAAAGGGUGGUACAGUGAGCAAGGGAUGGAGUCUGGAACUAGAAAGAUUGAAAUUUUAAUCUUACUCUGCGACUCCAGAUAACUUUCUCUCCCUCUCUGGAGGACUCCUUUUGUCAAAUAGGUCUGCAAACCUAUUUGAGAGAGAUAGAAGUCUUAGAGAGUAGCCGAUGAUGAUACUGCCUGUUUUAGGCUCAGGAGGCCCCACAGGUCCCAGGAGCGUGGGAGAGUUUCAGGGGAGGAACCCCGACUGGUCAGACCAGAAGAGCAAGCAUCUUGGGCGGGAGUGGGACCCAGGGUGGGGAGUCUGCUCCUGCUCAGGCCUGCCUGGAUUUGGGUUCCUGACCUGGGCCCAGCUGGGACCCAGGGAGCUGGAGGCUGUUAGGUUGAUUUACAUAUUUGUUUGUUUGCUUAUUUCCAUGCUAUGUAUGUGUUUGUUUUCUAGCAAUCUUCACUUUUGCUGUAUUGGAGCUGGAACUCAGAGCCCAGUGCCUGCUAGGCCAGGUCCCUGUAGUGAACUUGCCCCCAGCUCCUCACUGUGGGUUUGUGGGAUUCUCCUCACUUGCAUAGGAUCCAGAGGCCUCGUCGGAGGCAGCCAUGACGUAAGCCUGACGUGACUGGGGCCUUGUCUGGGAUGGGUUUCUAGUCCUCAGAGGCCAGGCUGGCUCACUCCAUUGUUUCCCCACAUUUGACUUACAAAACACAAUUUAAAUCUAAAUUAAGAACGGAGCCUAAAGGUUGGCAGGCUCUCUUCUGAACAAGACUCAUGGCCUACUUUGACCACCAGACUUCUUCAAACUGCCUGCUUCACCCGUGUCUGAUUCUGCCUGGGGACCAGCUGAGGGGACACCCCAGAUGAUACCUAAAAGAUGAAGAGAGACAACAGCCCAAGAGUUUUCUGAUGGCCUUGCUUGCAGCUGUCCAUCAUCCUCAGAAUCACUUUCUCACAAACUGAUUGAAGCAUUAAACGCAGUUCAAUACCACCACACUAGUAUUCAAGGGCACACUAGUGAUGAGACAGCCCAGGAGAUCUGCUGCCAGGAAUAAGCCAGGGCAGUCAAGGCCAGGAGAGAACAGUCAGACUGCAAUAAGGAUGGGCAAACUGAAUUUAUGACUCAACCAAGGCAAUCAGGGAAGGCUUCCUGGAAGAGGGGACAUCCUCGUGUAAGUUAGGAACCAGAGAUGGGCUAAGUACCUAAACUAAUUGAAUGAGCAACGACCCAGAGGUGGCAAAGGUCCCUCUCCCUUCUAUCACGGAAUGACAGGUUUCACUGGGAACCACAGGGCACGAUGGAAGGGCUCAAAAGAAGUGCCUGGAUCAUCUAAGAAUCGGGAUGGGGGGCUUUCAGGUGGGGCCACUGAACUUAAACCUUACAAAGGGAAGAGGGCAGAGGGGGAACCCUAAAGAAAAUUCAGGAAGGAGGACGUACUUAAGUUUCUAGAGCCUGCUAGAAGCCGGGCUGGUCAAAAAAAAAAAAAAAAAAAAAAAAUGCAUAGAGGCAGAUAGACCUACAUAUUAAAACCCCCAAAUCACAGAAGAUUAAGGCUACGUGUCUGUCCAUCUCUCCUCCCAUCCAUGCAUGACCUUAGGGGUUGAAAGUCUCUAUCGUUCCUGCCCAGGGCCCCAGGACUUCAGCGCUGGAAUCCACACCAGCAACUCUGUUUUUUCACCAUGUUUAAUUCGAUAUCAGAGGAGCACCAAUAAAUAGUUCCUUCCACCCCUGUGCUCUUCCUCCUGCCCCCAAGCGGGGCCUCCAGGGCCUGGCGAUGCAGCCGCUGGAAGACAGAGGCAGCCCAGACCUCCACGGCUCAGGCCAGCUGAGCCGGAGCGGCUGCAGAGAUCUCAGGAGAAGGCCAAAGGGGCGGGGCCGAGAGCUUCCUGAAGUGGGCGGGGCCCCAAAGGCCGCUGGGCGUUGGAGAUGGAUCAGCAGCUGAGAGCGCUGGCUGCUCUUGGCGAAGACUAAGGUUCAGUUCCCAGUACCCAUGUGGUGCUCACGAUCAUCUGUAUUGCCACUUCCUGAGGACCCGAUGACCUGCUCUGACCUCUGUGGGCAGACAUACAUCUAUGCAGGCAUAACAUCCAUGCACAUGAGAUGAAGUAAAUCUGUUGGCUUCACACUCGGAGAUCCACCCACCCCUGCCUUCCUGGUGCUGAGGUUACAGCUGUGUGUCACUGUGCCCAGUGCACACGAUGCUGCCGCUCGAACUCAGGGCUUAGUGCACGCUUGGCAAGCUCUCUACCGACUGAGUGUACAGUGCACCCCCAGGCUCUGAGCUUUAGUUAUGGUCCGGUGCUGGACGGGUGGAGCAGGACCCUCUUGGUUGGAGGACAGGAGAUGGUGGCAUAUAAUAAAAGGCAAAAGCCAAGAGGCAAAAGCACCCAGAAGGGACAGAGGGGACUAACCGUGAUGGCAGGAACGGCAGGGCCUGUGGAACUUUCUCGGCUUCUUCUCAUCCCUUCCUGUGGAUUCAUGAGGGAGAAUCAAGCAGGAUCCCAACCCGUAAGACAGAGAAAUGUCUGAAUAAGGGGGGCUUAUUCUGAAUGUCUGAAUAAGAUAAUACAGGGGUCUGAGGGAGGAGGGCUGAGUCUGGAGCCCUGGGUCUGAGGGAGGAGGCUGGGGUCUGGAGCCCUUGGUCUGAGGGAGGAAGGCUGAGUCUGUGCAUGUAAAGGAGUGGGGUCAAAUGCCCCUUUCUAAGGAGAAGGGCCUGCAGUCUCACCCUGUCCUUGAGCAGACGUUCCCUCUCGGCCACAGCCAGCUGCAGGAGUCGCUCCAUGUGUGCGAUGUCUGAACGAAGCACCGAGUGUCUAAGCGGACAAAGCAGAGAGGACGGUUACCUCGGCUGGCCUCCUCCUCCCUCUCCCCCAUCCCUCUCCCUCCCCCCUGCCCCCACUCCCUCUCAUGCCUCACCUAUUCCCAGGGCCACAGUUGAGCAGCUGAUAGAGAGGGUGUCUCCCAGGGGUCCCCACAGCUUGUGAAAGAGCCGAGGCCUCCAGAGGUCCUGAGGAAGAGGGCACGGGAUGUGGGGCCAGGUGUUUCCUCCCUUGCCCCUCUGUUUCUCCAGCCAACACCCAAGCAAUUUUUCCAUCCUCUGCCUAGGAUGGCUGAGGGCGGGGCAGGAGGGGAACAGAAGUGUCCUUACCUGUACAGUGGAGGGACAAAGGCCGGGAGGAUCCCCUCUGGCUGGCCCUUUCUCCCCUCCUCCGGGGCAGGCUUCCUGUCCUCUGGAGACCAAUAGACCCCUGAAAACACACACACAAACAAAGGUUGUGUUUGUAAGGUAGGCUGCCCCAGAGGUGCUUAGGAUAAUGGCUUCACUGACAGCUGUACGCUCUGGGGUGAGUGGGUGGAAAGGCUCCGGCUCUAUCAGUCAGUUAACCCGUUAGUGCAUUCGUGAUCUGAUGACAUCACUUGGAGGCUAUAAGACGAAUGAACGCUGGCGACAUGGCUCAGAAAGAGUUGGCAUGUAAACAUGAGAACCAGACAUCCACCCAUGCAGGAAGAGUCAUCGUCCAGCAAGAUGGCUCAAGCCCAGGCUGCCAAGUCUAAUGCCUGAGUUCAGGCCCUGUGCAGCGGAAUAAGAAGACUGGUGAUUCCCACUGGCUGUUCGGUGAUGUUCAGGGCAGAGAGUAGCAGUGAAGGCUCCUGAUGGACCGCUGCUGCCAGCCCCGCCCUCCCCAGUGUGCACAUGCGCAAACAGAGAGGGGCAGUACCUGCAGGGAGCUGUGCACCGAG